CAUGCAAGUCGAACGAUGAAACCUAGCUUGCUAGGUGGAUUAGUGGCGCACGGGUGAGUAAUAUAUAGAUAACGUGCCUCUUAGUCUGGGAUAGCCAUUGGAAACGAUGAUUAAUACUGGAUACUCCUUCUCUUUAUAAUAAGAGUUGGGAAAGUUUUUCGCUAAGAGAUCGGUCUAUAUCCCAUCAGGUAGUUGGUAGUGUAAGAGACUACCAAGCCUAUGACGGGUAGCGGGUUUGAGAGGAUGAUCCGCCACACUGGUACUGAGACACGGACCAGACUCCUACGGGAGGCAGCAGUGAGGAAUAUUGCACAAUGGAGGAAACUCUGAUGCAGCAACGCCGCGUGGAGGAUGACGCAUUUCGGUGUGUAAACUCCUUUUAUAUGUCAAGAAAAUGACGGUAGCAUAUGAAUAAGCACCGGCUAACUCCGUGCCAGCAGCCGCGGUAAUACGGAGGGUGCAAGCGUUAUUCGGAAUCACUGGGCGUAAAGGACACGUAGGCGGGAAGCCAAGUCUGAUGUGAAAUCCUACAGCUUAACUGUAGAACUGCAUUGGAAACUGGUUACCUAGAGUAUGGGAGGGGGAGAUGGAAUUAGUGGUGUAGGGGUAAAAUCCGUAGAUAUCACUAGGAAUACCUAAAGCGAAGGCGAUCUCCUGGAACAUUACUGACGCUAAGGUGUGAAAGCGUGGGGAGCAAACGGGAUUAGAUACCCCGGUAGUCCACGCCCUAAACGAUGUUCACUAGUCGUCGGGAUGCUAGUCAUCUCGGUGAUGCACUUAACAGAUUAAGUGAACCGCCUGGGGAGUACGG
rnacentral:rRNA from 1 species